rnacentral:tRNA from 1 species
GCACCCUUAGCUCAGUUGGUAGAGCAACUGACUCUUAAUCAGUGGGUCCCGGGUUCGAGUCCCUGAGGGUGCACCA